AACGAACGCUGGCGGCAGGCUUAACACAUGCAAGUCGAGCGCCCCGCAAGGGGAGCGGCAGACGGGUGAGUAACGCGUGGGAAUCUACCCUUUUCUACGGAAUAACGCAGGGAAACUUGUGCUAAUACCGUAUAAGCCCCUCGGGGGAAAGAUUUAUCGGGAAAGGAUGAGCCCGCGUUGGAUUAGCUAGUUGGUGGGGUAAAGGCCUACCAAGGCGACGAUCCAUAGCUGGUCUGAGAGGAUGAUCAGCCACAUUGGGACUGAGACACGGCCCAAACUCCUACGGGAGGCAGCAGUGGGGAAUAUUGGACAAUGGGCGCAAGCCUGAUCCAGCCAUGCCGCGUGAGUGAUGAAGGCCCUAGGGUUGUAAAGCUCUUUCACCGGUGAAGAUAAUGACGGUAACCGGAGAAGAAGCCCCGGCUAACUUCGUGCCAGCAGCCGCGGUAAGAC
rnacentral:rRNA from 1 species